AGACACUAAGUAUUUCCCUCCUGUGUACAGCUAACACAGCUCUGGUGUAUCAUCAUGGGAAAGUUCUAGCACUUUCUGAGGCAGAUAAACCUUAUGCUGUUAAAGUUUUGGAAGAUGGAGAUCUCCAAACACUUGGUAUGCUGGACUAUGACAAGAGAUUGUCACAUUCUUUUACUGCUCAUCCUAAGGUUGACCCAUUCACUGGCAAGAUGUUCACAAACACCACCAUAUAUCACCUACAGAGUAAUUUCCAAGGAUGGUUUCAUGUAUGAUCCAGUACCAAUAACAAUAUCAGACCCCAUCAUGAUGCAUGACUAAAAGUUGCAAUGAGGGAUACAGGGUUGAGAAAAUUGCCAGGAUGUAGCUAGAUUGAGGUCAACGAUU